GCGAACGCUGGCGGCAGGCCUAACACAUGCAAGUCGAACGGAUCCUUCGGGAUUAGUGGCGGACGGGUGAGUAACACGUGGGAACGUGCCCUUUGGUUCGGAACAACUCAGGGAGACUUGAGCUAAUACCGGAUGUGCCCUUCGGGGGAAAGAUUUAUCGCCAUUGGAGCGGCCCGCGUCUGAUUAGCUGGUUGGUGAGGUAACGGCCCACCAAGGCGACGAUCAGUAGCUGGUCUGAGAGGAUGAUCAGCCACACUGGGACUGAGACACGGCCCAGACUCCUACGGGAGGCAGCAGUGGGGAAUCUUGCGCAAUGGGCGAAAGCCUGACGCAGCCAUGCCGCGUGAAUGAUGAAGGUCUUAGGAUUGUAAAAUUCUUUCAGCGGGGACGAUAAUGACGGUACCCGCAGAAGAAGCUCCGGCUAACUUCGUG
rnacentral:rRNA from 1 species